AGCUCUGUAAGCGUAUACCAAAGUUGUUGCAGUUAAAACGCUCGUAGUCGGAUUUUGGGGCAGCCCGUGCUGUGCGCGUAGUGCGUGCGGCGCUGGGAUGUUCUUUUGUGGAGGGCGGCGCGUCGUGGCUUUGCUGUCGCGGCGUGUCGGCGCCACCGUUUACUGUGAAAAAAUUAGAGUGUUCAAGGCAGGCAUAUAUUAAAUAGCUUGAAUACAUGAGCAUGGAAUAAUGAAAUAGGACUUCGGUGCACUAUUUCGUUGGUUCUACUGUCCGAAGUAAUGAUUAAGAGGGACAGUUGGGGGCAUCCGUAUUUCGUAGUCAGAGGUGAAAUUCUUGGAUCUGCGAAAGACGAACUAGUGCGAAAGCAUUUGCCAAGAGUGUUUUCAUUAAUCAAGAACG
rnacentral:rRNA from 1 species